rnacentral:lncRNA from 1 species
AAUUCUUAGUUGAUGAUCAAAGGACUAAAAAUUUAAUAAAUCCACCAAACAUUAUACGAUUUUAAUUUACCAUUUCCAUCACACUUGGCAUUUUUUCAACUUCUGCUUUUGGAAUUUGACUAUUGGCAAAAAGAGUUAAUGAAACUAGUUAUCAAUGGUUUCAACGUUCGUUUUUUCAUCCUUCAUUGUCACCUUUCCUUUCACUUUCUAGACCAUACAUACACGAGAAUACUGCAUAGGCUGUCCCAAUACAUAUACAUAUA